rnacentral:rRNA from 1 species
AGUGAACGCUGGCGGUAGGCCUAACACAUGCAAGUCGAACGGCAGCACAGUAAGAGCUUGCUCUUACGGGUGGCGAGUGGCGGACGGGUGAGGAAUACAUCGGAAUCUACUUUUUCGUGGGGGAUAACGUAGGGAAACUUACGCUAAUACUGCAUACGACCUACGGGUGAAAGCAGGGGAUCUUCGGACCUUGCGCGAUUGAAUGAGCCGAUGUCGGAUUAGCUAGUUGGCGGGGUAAAGGCCCACCAAGGCGACGAUCCGUAGCUGGUCUGAGAGGAUGAUCAGCCACACUGGAACUGAGACACGGUCCAGACUCCUACGGGAGGCAGCAGUGGGGAAUAUUGGACAAUGGGCGCAAGCCUGAUCCAGCCAUACCGCGUGGGUGAAGAAGGCCUUCGGGUUGUAAAGCCCUUUUGUUGGGAAAGAAAAGCAGCAGGUUAAUACCCCGCUGUUCUGACGGUACCCAAAGAAUAAGCGCCGGCUAACUUCGUG